AACCCCUGCCUAGCAAAGCUUGGCCCAGGACCCAGCUCCAGCAGUCUUGGAGGACAGAGGAUCGAGCCAGAGGAAUCUUCUCAAGCCUCAAACCCUGUUUCUUGCUUACUUUGGACCUCCUCAGCCCUGUCACCCCUUACUUCUUCCGGUUGCUCCCCUUCGGAGUGGGAGUGCCCGUCCGGUGCCCCACCAUUGCUGGCGGGACAGGCCCACAGCCGGAGAGGAAUCCGCCUCAGGAUAAACGCAGCUGGGGUCUCCCCCACCCCUGACUCGGAUGAGAUUUAGAUCAGACUUCGGAGUAGCUGCUGGAAGGAGUUAACACUCGGCUGUUGGGAUGGAGUGAAUGUAGUUCUCAUGCGAGAAGGACAUGAAUCUGGGGGGCCAGGAGAGGACCGCUAUGGUCCGAAUGUGCCCCCCUGAAGUUCGCAUGUGGAAACCGCCCCCCAGCGGUGAUGGUAGUCGGAGGCGGGGCCUCUGGGAGGUGACGAGGCCCUGAGGACUAGGGACUGGGGUCCGUGCCCUGAUGAAGGAGGCCCCAGGGAGCACCCUCGCCCCUUCCCGACUGCGAGGACACAGUGAGAAGAUGCCGUCUGUGAACAAGGAAGUGAGCCGUGGCCAGUGUAGAGAGCAGGACGGAGGCACUCAUGCCAAGCAGUGACUUUCGUCAUCAGUGACACAGCAGCCAACGGUGCUGAGCUAAGACCAGGCACCACCCAGACCAGCACCGGCUGGAGACACCCCGGAACUGAUCACCAGCAGGAGCAGGGGAGAUCUGCAGGGGCCCAAGGCUGAUGACAUCCCUUUAAAAAGGGAGGGCAGAGGUGACCCCUCUGUGUCUGACCACCUCAGAAAGGCAGCUGCCGCCAAAGCCUCUGUCCGGUUCAUCUCCAACAGGAACAGAGACCCUCCGCUGCUUGGACAUAAUAAACAGUGAGCACCGAGGGCUGACCCGGAACUGACCGAGGCCUUAUCUCAACCUCGCACCCACAGACUUUGCGUUCGUUACGUCAACUUUGCUUUCUGACCGAAUCAAGCCGCCGUUGGGAAAGACACACCUCGUUCAUGUGUGUGCCUUCGUACCGUGCUCAUGAAAACUGGACACCAAAUCUGCUGGCGCCCUGUCCUCGGACUUCCAGCCUCCAGAACUGUGAGACAUACAUGUCUGUCAUUCAUAAGCCAUCCCGUCUGUAUUCUUCCGCCACAGCAGCCUGAGCGGACGAGAACAGCAUUUGCACCACUGUGGUGACCCAGGUGCACUGAGGUCUGACCAAGAGGAGCCGAUACAGUUGAGAGAAGUCAAGGAAUUAGAAUGGAUAGGAGAGUAAGACAGACAGAAAACCAAGGACCACCCAUGCAGACUUAUGGUGUGGACGACUAACAGUCACUAAAGGCUGGAGAAGAUGAAGGUCUGGAGAGGCUCCACAGCUGACACCUUCUUUCCAGCUUCGAGCUCUUCAGAGUCAUCCUCCCUGGGCCAUGCCCUACAGCUGCACCCUCUGGAUAAGAUAGCACCUGCUGAACUGGCAUCUGUCUUGUCACUUAUCUGGCCUCACCUCUGAGUCCCUGUUCUUCCUAAGAGAGGUUUCUGGUUUGCCGAUCCAGCUCUUUCCCAGGCCCAGGACUGCAGGGGAGCAGACGCCUGGGACCUGCUUUUCUACACUUGAUCUUAGCCAAAAGGCCGAGAAGCGAUGGGCCCUGCUCUUCUAGAAGGGACUUCUUUCACCUGCUCACAUUCUGUGGGCCACAGCGAGGUACGGGACCAAGCCUCAAAGCAGUGGAUGGGUCGUAACAUGUACUGCCUGUGGGGCACCACGGGCAGGCGGGAAAGGAGGGAAAAGCUGUGAUGGAAUAACGCAAUCUCCCAGAGCCCAGAACUACCCCCAGAUCUGUUUCUCCUCAGCCAUUUUGUGCCUUAAUAGGCACCGACUCUCCCUUUGGCCAGUCAAGGAGCCAGCCAUGAGCGUGUUGACCCACAAACCACCUGGCCAGGAACACACAGAGGCACAGGUGUUGAGAUCCCGCUCAAGCAAGCAGCCGUGUGCAGCCACAUGGAGCUCUGGUGUCACAGGGGGAUAGGAGGAGGGGGGACCAUAGUGUAGCCACAGCAGGGCCAGUGGGCUCCUCCCCAGACCAGUGCAGCGGUCUGAUCUCAGAGCAGGACUCCCCAGAACUCCCAGCAGUGUGACGAAUUAUCCAAUUUCCUCUUAAAAUCCCUUUUGAACACAUAAACAUACGGCUCGAACAACACACAUUUAUUCUUUCUCAGUGCCGGAGUCAAGGUCAAGGUCAAGGCAGGGAUUGUUGCUCCUGAGGCCUCUCUCCUGGGACUGUGGAUGGGGUCUUCCCCUGUGUCCUCAAAAGGUCAUCCCUGUGUGUGCCUCUCUGUCCCAACUUUUUUUUUUUUUUUUUUUUUUUUGAGAGAGAGAGAGAGCAAGCAGGGGAGGGGCAGAGAGAGAGAG